rnacentral:rRNA from 1 species
UAGAAUUAGGGUUCGAUUUCGGAGAGGGAGCAUGAGAAACGGCUACCACAUCUAAGGAAGGCAGCAGGCGCGUAAAUUACCCAAUCCUGACUCAGGGAGGUAGUGACAAGAAAUAGCAAACCGGGAACCUCAUGGUUUCACGGUAUUGCAAUGAGAACAAUUUAAAACCCUUAGCGAGAAUCAAGUGGAGGACAAGUCUGGUGCCAGCACCCGCGGUAAUUCCAGCUCCACUAGCGUAUAUUAAAGUUGUUGCAGUUAAAAAGCUCGUAGUUGAACCUCUGUCUGGGGCUAGUUUUGGCUUUGGUCAGGCUAGUUCUAGGCAUCCGCCUACAAGACUUAGAGGGCAUUCAGUUGUUCACUAGGAGGAGUAGGCAUUUUACUUUGAAAAAAUUAGAGUGUUUAAGGCAGGCAAUCGCCCGCAUAUAUUAGCAUGGAAUAAUAGAAUAGGACACUUUUCCAUUUCGUUGGUUAUUGGAAUCGUGUAAUGAUUAAUAGGGACAGUUGUGGGCAUUUGUAUUUAACUGUCAGAGGUGAAAUUCUUGGAUUUAUUAAAGACAAACUAACGCGAAAGCAUUUGCCAAGGAUGUUUUCAUUAAUCAAGAACGAAAGUUAGGGGAUCAAAGACGAUCAGAUACCGUCCUAGUCUUAACUAUAAACUAUUCCGACUCAAUGUUUGACUGGCUUAUAUAACCAGUUGAGCGUUGUAUGAGAAAUCAAAGUCUUUAGGUUCUGGGGGGAGUAUGGUUGCAAAGCUGAAACUUAAAGGAAUUGACGGAAGAGCACAACCAGGAGUGGAUUCUGCGGCUUAAUUUGACUCAACACGGGGAAACUUACCAGGUUAAAACAAUAGUGGGAUUGACAGUUUGAGAGCGCUUUCUUGAUUGGUUGGGUGGUGGUGCAUGGCCGUUCUUAGUUGGUGGAGUGAUUUGUCUGCUUAAUUGCGUUAACGAACGAGACCUUAACCUGCUUACUAGACUGGCGAUCAUCAAUCGUUAGCUCUUCUUAGAGGGACUUUGGUUGUUUUAACUCCAAGGAAGUUUGAGGCAAUAACAGGUCUGUGAUGCCCUUAGAUAUCCUGGGCCGCACGCGUCAUACGAUGACUAGUUCAGAAAGUUUUCUCCUGACCCGAAAGGGGAUGGGUAAUCUUGAUAAUACUAGUCGUGUUAGGGAUCGAUCUUUGCAAUUAUAGAUCUUGAACGAGGAAUUCCUAGUAAGUGCGGUUCAUCAGACCGUACUGAUUACGUCCCUGCUCUUUGUACACACCGCCCGUCGCUUCUACCGAGUGGGUGGUCCGGUGAGAUAAUUGAACUUCGCAGGUAACUGAGAGGAAAGAUUAUCAAACCUAUCCACCUCGAGGAAGAAGAAGUCGUAACAAGGUU